AAACGCUGGCUGUGUUAGUAAUAUCGGUUAAAAGCUCUUUCUUUAAUAGAAUUUGUGUUAAUAUCUCUCAGUUGAUGUUUUUUUUUUUUUUCGUGUUAAUUCUUCUAACGUUAAUUCGAGCCGUUGUAAUGAAGUAAGAAACAGCAGACCAGUCUACCUUUUUCUAAAUGGCUUUUAAAAGUUAUGACAAGUCUUGAAGAAAACAAAUAAGAUGGCUAACUUUGAAGACUAGUGAUAAAGAAAAGGCAGCAUUUUGGUGGACUACAUAGACCUUCUGUUUAACAAACUGAUUUCUCAUACUCUACCUGAUCUUGCCAAAGAUCUUAAAGAAAUGCCUGAGAAGAUACUGGACUGCUUCGUUGUCUAUUCAUCAGGUUGUGGAUUUUGAGGGCUUCAUCUGUGCACUCAAUGAGCAGGGUUACCUUCUGAAGAAAGCCCACAGGAAGUAUCAGCUUCAAACCACACGAAUCAGCCAUCUCUUGUGAUGUUUCACACUCGAACUGUUUCAUCCUGUUUCGUUUGUUUUUCAAUGCAACAGAUAUUAUACUUAUACCAUACAGUGUGAUGUAUGUUUACACAAAUGCUUCAAUGUUAUCUGUACGUUGUUUUCAUGUACAUAAAUAGACUCAUGAUUGUUUUAAAUAGUAUUUUCCUUUCAUAUAAUCAAACAGUAACCUCAUUUUUGAACAAUGUUUAAGUAGUUUUGUAUCUUAUGAUGUUAGCUGUGUCCUUUCAGUAGAUUCUUCUAAAUGUAAUAUUGAACUUUUAAGUCUGUUUAUGCUACUGUCUGUGAAAUAACCUCACUUAUACAUGUGCAGCUGAUAAAUUUAAUUGCAAUAAAUAAAUAAAAAACAUUAAAAUGCA